UACAGAGGCCUCGAGCGUUAGGCGGAAUCACUGGGCUUAAAGCGUGUGUAGGUGGAUGCCUAAGUACCUUGUGAAAUCCCACGGCUUAACCAUGGAAUUGCUUGGUAUACUGGGUGUCUUGAGCCACUCAGGGGCUACCGGAACAAGCGGUGGAGCGGUGAAAUGCGUAGAUAUCGUUUGGAACGCCAAUGGUGAAAACAGGUUGCUGGGGGUGUGCUGACGCUGAGACACGAAAGCCAGGGGAGCAAACGGG
rnacentral:rRNA from 1 species